CCAAUAACAGAUGUUAAGUCGC
rnacentral:siRNA from 1 species